rnacentral:lncRNA from 1 species
GUUUUUUGACGAUUUUGGCCGUAUUCCUGCAGAAAAAUACAUCAGGGGUCUCGAUUGGCCAGAAAAUUGUAAAAAACCAAACUCAUCGGCGGGGAGCCUUCCGGGUAUGCCAGCUCUGCCGAUUCUCCUUCACGGCUGAUAUUCUUUCUUCAGUCAACCUGCAGAAAAAAUGACGAUGAACACAAUGAUCGAAAAAUAAUGUGAAAUGGGAAUUGAAAAUGGGCUCAUCGGAGGGACUUUGCGACUUUGACCACAGCGGCUCUGUUGAGCUUCGCCAAUAAUUUUCGUCUCACCCACCAUUUUUUUUACUCCGAUUUGGUCAUGGGGUUGCUCGGAAUCAAAUUCCAAG